GGCACCUUCAGCAAUCUUUUAAAAAUGCCCUUGCCUGAGAGAGCCUUCUCAUAAAUGAUAAUAUAUCCCUUUCUUCCCCACCACUUUCUCUGCGCUCCCCUCUUCAUUCACCAUUGCAGUCAAGAGCCUUCUCCAUAAAUUUGUUUGAUACACAUUAAAAAAAAAAAAAAAAAAAGUCAAAACAUUAUUUGGAAGGUGAGGAUCACUUCUAUCCGAAAAAUUUAUGCAUUAAUCAACCAUUCAAAUUAGAAAAUGCAUCUUCAAGAGCAUUUGAAUGCAGCUGGACACACGCCACUAGAUCAUGCUAUGAUCACUACUUUGGUCUAAAGAUGGCAACAAGAAUCACACACAUUCCAUCUUCGGUCUGGGGAGGCCACAUUACAUUGCAGGUCGUGACUGUAUUAUAUGGGCUGCUAGUUAAUUGUUACUAGUGACAGAGAUAGAUUUUACCCUAGAUCCUAUAGAGUGAUAGGUGUGUAUGGUAGAUCUUUUAAGCCGGGCACCGGUAGAGGUUGAUUGAGAAUUUCAGGGGCAGAUUGCUAACGACAUCCUUGGUUGGUCAUAUUACAUCACCAUCACUUCAUCUGAUUACUGAUAAUACUCUUGAAAUUGUUGUUUAGCAGCGGGUGUGCUUGUACAUAUUGUGGACCAUUGAGGGUAUGCUUGUGGUUAACACAUCAGGUAACAAGGUCAAGUUGAUGUAUCUAUAUUUGCUUGAGGACUUGUCCAAAGUUAAUAUGCUUGGGAUGCAGCCACACUUGCGAUACUUUACAUGCAUCUUUGUCGUGCAUCGCAGAGAGGGAUUAGAGUCAUUGAUGGUUUCUUACCUUUACUUCAGGCUACAGAGGGAUCCUGAUCCGCAAGCUGCCGAGUGGCUAGUUCCUAACCUAUCAGGACCACCGCGUGCUCAUGUAAGGUUAAUAGGCUAUGCCACGAUACAGAAACACCUCACCUAAUAUAUUUAUUUCGUGAUCAACUAGAUUUAAUCUUAGAGCAUCAGGUCUUUUUAUACUUUUGAAUGAUAGUUUUACUUGUCAUUUUUAUUUUUUUUAAGUCUAUCACUAAAACUAACUAAAUUUACUUGAUUAUACUGUUUUCAUGACAUCCUACAGUCCUGGUGUUUUCAAUUUAUUAUCAUAUUAUUGUGUGAGUAGUUCUGGUGUUUGGCAUGCUGUUGUACCUGUAAUAGCUUGGGAUGCGGUUAGUGUUACCAACAAGAUAGGAUAUAACGCCAGUUUGGAUUGAUUCAGCACAUUCCGGAUAGAAUACAAUGGACCUCGAGAUUUCUUUAAAAAUCCAUUGAACGAUUCAGAAUGAUUGGUUGUUAAG